CACCUCUGCUAGUCUCCGCCCUAACUCACCCUCACCGCCAGGGCCCAGCCUCUUCUCCUCACCCUGUUAAACUGGUAUAGAAGCCCCAGGUUCUAAUUCCCUGCUUCGGUCGCGUUUUUUGUGAACUGCUGCGCAUGGAUCGUGUUCGCAGUACUACAGAAAGCAAGAAACCUUGAUUUACAGCGAGAGGAGCAGCAAUUAGAGAGAAUUAAUUCAUAAAGCAACAUCUAAAUAAAUCAUAUUAUGAGAAGACAGCAA
rnacentral:lncRNA from 1 species